AGUGAACGCUGGCGGUAGGCCUAACGCAUGCAAGUCGAACGGCAGCACAGUAAGAGCUUGCUCUUACGGGUGGCGAGUGGCGGACGGGUGAGGAAUACAUCGGAAUCUACUUUUUCGUGGGGGAUAACGUAGGGAAACUUACGCUAAUACCGCAUACGACCUACGGGUGAAAGCAGGGGAUCUUCGGACCUUGCGCGAUUGAAUGAGCCGAUGUCGGAUUAGCUAGUUGGCGGGGUAAAGGCCCACCAAGGCGACGAUCCGUAGCUGGUCUGAGAGGAUGAUGAGCCACACUGGAACUGAGACACGGUCCAGACUCCUACGGGAGGCAGCAGUGGGGAAUAUUGGACAAUGGGCGCAAGCCUGAUCCAGCAAUACCGCGUGGGUGAAGAAGGCCUUCGGGUUGUAAAGCCCUUUUGUUGGGAAAGAAAAGCAGCAGGUUAAUACCCCGCUGUUCUGACGGUACCCAAAGAAUAAGCACCGGCUAACUUCGUG
rnacentral:rRNA from 1 species